GUGGAUGGAAGGGGACGCUCAGAGGACGGCCUCUUUCCACAACCCCCACCCCUCUCCAAGUCGCUACUACUCUCGUACCCCGAACCCAACAGCUCUGGGCGAGAGGGGAGGGUCCCAGAGUCGGGCAGGGGGCCCGGGGGAUCAGGCGAGGCCGGGUUGGGCCGAGAACGCCGCCGCGGCUCCGGCUCCCGUUACCCCGGGGAAAACGGAGCCCGCACGGGCAGGUCGGUGGCCCACAUUCCCGCCUCCCCCCACCCCCCGCCCGCGGCGGCGCGCUUGGACCCGGCCCAGGAGCCCCGCGAUGAGGAGCAGCGAGGCUGGCUGAUAUCCAAACACCGUCCUCUGGGCCUCCGUGCUCUUCACCAGCCCCCAGCUCCAGCUAACUAGCUUCGAUGCAUCUUCUGGAAAGAUCCACCAACUCAGUUCUCACCCUCGGGGAAGCCUCCAUUGAGAGAAACGACCGAGUAAGUAGAUCUUUUUAGUACAACACACCAAGUGGUAACGUUACAAGACACACUUUUACCCACCCAAAGGUAGCCCCACUAAUCAUUGUGAAUAGGUCGCCUCGGGGCCACUGAAAAUCUCAUUUUAAUUUUUUUAACUUUGUUUAUUUAUUUACUUUUUAAUUUUUUAUUGAAUCACCGUGUGAAAAGUUACAAAGCUUUCAGGCUUAAGCCUCAGCCAUACACUGAUUAGACACCCGUCCCUUCACCAGUGCACAUGUUCCACCACCAAGAACCCCAGUAUACCUCCCAUCCCACCCCCCCACCCCCGCCUGUGUGGCUGAUGAUUUUCACUCUACUUUCUCUUUACUUUGAUUACAUUCAAUAUUUCACCAGAGAACUCACUAGUAUUAUUUGGAAUUUUCCCCCAAACAAUCAGACCUGCCGAAAAGGCAUCAUUUGAUCAUUUGUUUUCCAUUGCUGAGAAUGAAGAGCAUGUCACGGCCUCACGGUUUUGGAUUUCUGGUAUUUUAGUAAUGAAGUCCAGAGAAGUUUCUGCCAGAAAUCGCAUCAUUGCAAGCUCGUACCUCUCUUUAGUGGGCCUUAUAAGAUGACGAUUGCCACACCGCCACCGGGGAAAGGGAAGGCUGAGAGAGAGCAAAACCUUCCCCUCCUGGGGUUGGCAUGGGGCUGUGGCUUAGUUCACAGUCUAGAGGCAUUUCUGCAGGAAGCCGCGGGGUGCCAAAAGUAGUCAGUGGCCCCCCCCCCCGGGAUCAUGGGCGUUGGGAACUGAAAAUUUCAUUUUUAAUAUCCCACUCGGGCGGGCGAAAGCAGCAGGGCGGGUUGCGGGACCUGGGGAGCAGAGGCGGUGGGGUCCGUGCUGGCCAAGGUCAGAGCCAGAUGGACACCCGGGCGCUCCGCAGGCCUCAGCCGGGCAGAAAUGUGGGGGGUCAGAGCGAGGCAGAUGGUCAGAUGGUGGAGACUCAGCAGCAGAGGGAGGGGGCCGGGGAGGGCGGGCAGGAAGGAGACCCGGGAUACCCAAUCACAGCGCACACAGGGUCCUGGCACGGGGCAGGCAGAACGGGCAUCUGCUGCCUCCUUUUCUCCCUGGGCCCGGAGAGGCCCACAUGGAGGCAGGCCUGGCCAAGAGACGGUGCCUCCGUCUGUGAAAACAGCCGGCAGAGUCGCCGUGGGGACGACGCACAUCCCCAGCUCGGCCCUGACACACGUUGGUACCGGUCCCGCCCGCCGCCUCUACCCGUGGUAAUGAGAUGGGCCCCGAUGUGAAGAAACCUCUGGGCACAGCUGGCACAGGAAGCGGGUGCCCGGAGCAACCCCUCCACGCUUGCUUAAGCUUCCUGGGGCUGCCCUUCCGGCCCUGUGUUUGUCACUGUUUACUCGGCUGUUGCCCAGAGACACAACCAAUGUGGCGAACGGACACCAGAGCGCUCACCCACAAGAGCCCAGGGCCUCUACUUUCAUUUCUUCGCAAGUUUGAGACCCUGGGAGACACUUUGGUGGUACGAGGGGGCGACUGGUCGGAGGGCGUUUAUGCCACAGAGCCACCUAGCCGGUUCCCUCCAAGUCGCGAUGGUCUGCUCAGUGGCCUAGCAUGGAAGGCCUCGGACAGGGCUGGCCACCAAGGCGGGGACCCCAGCUGCAUCUGCUGAGGGGAUGUCUGUGCAAUCAAAGUCUGCGGCUGGGGAUGCCCGGGGACUCUCUGACAUCUGGAGCCAUUCAGUGUUUUAUUUCACAGAUGUUUAUUGAGCUGCUACUAUGUGCAGGACACUGGGUGAGAAGCCCCCGGGAGUCUGUAGAGUGGGGAGCAAAACCGCACAUGAUUCCAAGACCUCAUGCAGAGUCCACCUGGAAGGAGAAACCAAGUCACAAGCAAAUGGGACCUGCCGUGGGAGGUCCUCAAGAGAAUGACAGGUGAUGGAGCCAGUAACUCAGGAGUGAGGCCAAGGCGAGGAGCGUCAAGAAGGAAGGUCCGAGGGGUUAACGAGGCAAAGUGGGAGGAGAAACCUUCCCCUGCAUGGAGCAGUGGCUGAGAGCACCGGAGUCCACACAGGCCCCCACAGCCCCUCCUGCAGAAAGAAGAAAGGAUGGGAUCGCUCCUCCUCAUCUUCCUGCACUCACCACUGGGCUUCCGCUUGGCCUUCCUCGAGCCCACCAGAGUUGGUUGCAUUAAGCCGCCUCGCCCCGCUCUGUCUCAGGAAGGUUUGUAUUUCCAGCUCCCCCUCUGUCUUACUCCCCGGGGGCCGUGCAGGGUGCCCUCCGGAGCUCACGGCCCACAGCCCGGGCAUCCUUCUUCCCACGUCCGCCCCUCUGCUUGCUCUAGCCUGGAUCCCUCUGAGGACACACCGGCACUGUGACCCUCGAGGUGGGCACUUAGUGUCCCCCUACAGCCGCUUCACACUAGCCCUGGAUGCGGACCAGGCCUCCCUCCCGUCUACUGCUGGUUGUUGCUUCCAAGAGUUCCCCCUCUGUCCUUUCUAAAGCACCCCAACUUUGGGUAGCAGUCACCAAAAUAAAACACUGACCCGCAGACAGUCAUCUGGACAGGGCUUUGAGUCUCAUUUCCUGUUACCUCCUAGCUCGAGGGCACCUCCCCCCAAUGACUUGCUGUUAAUCUUUUGCGAUUUCGGUACCAUGGCAAUCAUUUCCUUCCCCAGAACGUCUCUCCUCCCCUGACUCUGGUCUCCCUCAUCCACUAUACUCCCUGGCAAUCAUCCUAAACCAUUAGUGACUUAUCGUAAUGCGAUGAAAUUUUUAAAAACUAAAAGAGAAACAGAUGACAAUCAUGUUAAUAAUAUACUUCUAGCCAAUAUAGCUAAAACAUUGUUGUUGCAACAGGUAAUCGAUAUUUUCAACUAUUAAUUAAAAAAAUUUUUUACUCUCUUUUGCUUGCACUAGGGCUGGAGGAUUUGGGGGUGUGUCUGCAUCUCGGUUGGGAUGAGUUCCAUUUCAGGUGCUCAGCGUCACACAUCACUAGGGGCAUUGGGCAACCUGACCCUGGAUAGAUUUUGUACCACCACUUCACAAUCUGUUUUAAGCGACCUUCUGUCCUGUCAGCUCCUUUUCUUUCCAGCUCACCUACUCCUUUUGCUUUAAUUCUCACCUUUGAUUCAUCCUUCCUUCCAUCUGGGAUGCAUAUGUCAACUUCCUCUCUAGCUCCCCUGUCAUGCCCUCCUUAACCCAUUUAAAGCCGUUGGCCUUUCUGAGUCUGUUACUCUCCCUCUGACUUAUUUCGCUCAACAUGAUACUCUCCAGAUCUAUCCAAAUUGCAGCAAAUUGCAUGACUUUAUCUUUUUUUAAGACUGCAUAGUAUUCCAUUGUGUACAUGUACCAUAGUUUCUUUAGCCAGUCAUCUGUUCAUAGGCAUAUGGGUUGUUCCCAUAUUUGGGCUAUUGUACGUAGUGCUGUAAUGAAUGUAGGGAUGCAGAUGUCUCUUCUGCUUUCUGCUUUGGGGCUCUGGGGAUAUAGUCCCAGGGAGGGACAUUGGUAGGGGGUAGUGAGUACUGGUGAAAGGGCUGGUAUUGGAACAAUAUAUACCUGAAACUUAAUCAUAAAUAUAUUUGUAAUUUUGUCAUUCAUGGUGACUCAAAUACAAAAAAGCUGAAAAUAGAUAAAUAGAAUAAAGUCUGUGGGCAAUGCUGAGUGUCACAUUUUGCUGUUCACCUCCAUUUCCCUGUGCUUCUCUCUCAUUCUGAUAUUCACUGGGCAAAGUGAAAAUCUGGGUUCAGCCCAGCUUAACCCACUCCACAGCUACAUGCAUUGAAGAAGCCCAGGGGAGGUUGAAGAAACUUUUUUAUGUAUGUAUGUAUUUAUUUAUUUAUUUAUUUUGCUUUUUGGGUCGCACCUGGCGAUGCACAGGGGUUACUCCUGGCUCUGCACUCAGGAAUUACCCCUGGCCAUGCUCAGGGGACCAUAUGGGAUGCUGGGAUUUGAACCCGGGUCGGCCGCGUGCAAGGCAAACACCCUACCCGCUGUGCUAUCUCUCCAGCCCCUGAAGAAACUUUUUUAAACCCCUUCUGACCCAUUUAAAACUUGGUGAUCCCAGGUAAAGGGUGCUAGGAGGGUCCAGUCGGGAUGGGAGAUGUGAGCUGAAAGUAGACUAUAGACAUGAUGGCCACUUAAUACCUCUACUGCAAACCACA